GAAGAACUCAGAUUUGUGAUAUUGCCUUCGGUUUCCCGGCAACUGUUUUGUCAAUAUACCACCCGACUACCAUGUUUCUUGGAAACCAAAACACAUUAAGGAUGGAUGUUCUCAGCAACCCCAUAUUACUCGAAGGAUACACAAUGUACUAUAAUGCCGGACCUUUCCUUGAGCGUGUCUUCUAAAAACCCAUUCCAACCCAUUAACAACAUUAGAGGUUAAAUUAUAA